CGGCCGGGAACUCAAAGGAGACUGCCAGUGAUAAACUGGAGGAAGGUGGGGAUGACGUCAAGUCAUCAUGGCCCUUACGAGUAGGGCUACACACGUGCUACAAUGGCGCAUACAAAGAGAAGCGACCUCGCGAGAGCAAGCGGACCUCAUAAAGUGCGUCGUAGUCCGGAUUGGAGUCUGCAACUCGACUCCAUGAAGUCGGAAUCGCUAGUAAUCGUGGAUCAGAAUGCCACGGUGAAUACGUUCCCGGGCCUUGUACACACCGCCCGUCACACCAUGGGAGUGGGUUGCAAAAGAAGUAGGUAGCUUAACCUUCGGGAGGGCGCUUACCACUUUGUGAUUCAUGACUGGGGUGAAGUCGUAACAAGGUAACCGUAGGGGAACCUGCGGUUGGAUCACCUCCUUACCUUAAAGAA
rnacentral:rRNA from 1 species